AAAAAGAUCAAGCUACAAAGAGCAUACAGGAGGAUGCCUUGGUACAUGGCGCCGAAGAAGGACGCGACAAGCUGCGAAAAGCUGCGGGGAACUGCAAAUGAGUUACGAUCCGCAGAUAUCCGAAUGAGGGAACUCACCGUAAGUAACGUUACGGUAUCGUACGAUGAAUAAAUAGUCGUGCGAAGGGAACCCGGGGAACUGAAACAUCUAAUUACCCGGAGGAAAAGAAAGUAAAGCAACGAUUCCGAAAGUAGUGGCGAGCGAAAUCGGAAGAGCCCAAACCGCGAGUAGUAAUACUUGCGGGGUGAAGGACUCCGAAAUCCACCGAUAACGGUAGACGAACAGUGCUGGAAAGCACGGCGAAAGAGGGUAAAAGCCCCGUAGUCGAAACUGUUUAAGGGGAGGGAGUAUCCGGAGUACGGCGGGACACGAGGAAUCCUGUCGGAAAAAGCGAGGACCAUCUCGUAAGGCUAAAUACGACCAUGUGACCGAUAGAGUAUAGUACCGUGAGGGAACGGUGAAAAGAACCCCGGGAGGGG
rnacentral:rRNA from 1 species